rnacentral:rRNA from 1 species
UACGGAGGAUGCGAGCGUUAUCCGGAUUUAUUGGGUUUAAAGGGUGCGUAGGCGGCCUGCCAAGUCAGCGGUAAAAUUGCGGGGCUCAACCCCGUACAGCCGUUGAAACUGCCGGGCUCGAGUGGGCGAGAAGUGUGCGGAAUGCGUGGUGUAGCGGUGAAAUGCAUAGAUAUCACGCAGAACCCCGAUUACGAAGGCAGCAUACCGGCGCCCUACUGACGCUGAGGCACGAAAGUGCGGGGAUCAAACAGG